UACGUAGGUGGCAAGCGUUGUCCGGAAUUACUGGGUGUAAAGGGAGCGCAGGCGGGGAGGCAAGUUGAAUGUCUAAACUAUCGGCUCAACUGAUAGUCGCGUUCAAAACUGCCACUCUUGAGUGCAGUAGAGGUAGGCGGAAUUCCUAGUGUAGCGGUGAAAUGCGUAGAUAUUAGGAGGAACACCAGUGGCGAAGGCGGCCUACUGGGCUGUAACUGACGCUGAGGCUCGAAAGCGUGGGUAGCAAACAGG
rnacentral:rRNA from 1 species